rnacentral:rRNA from 1 species
GGAGUAUGGGCCGUGUCUCAGUCCCAUUGUGGCUGAUCAUCCUCUCAAACCAGCUACUGAUCAUCGCCUUGGUGGUCCAUUACACCCCCAACUAGCUAAUCAGAUGCAGACUCAUCCCAGAGCACCGGAGUUUUCAAGAAUAGUAUCUCAACUACGCUCAUAUGGGGUAUUAGCUGUCGUUUCCAACGGUUGUCCCCCACUCUAGGGCAGAUUCUCUACAUAUUACUCGCCCGUCCGCCACUUUCCUCUCUAGCAAGCUAGAGAUUCUCGUUCGACUUGCAUGUAUGAAGCACGCCGCCAGCGUUCGUCCUCGAGCCACUGAUCAAACUACU